ACGGAGGGUGCAAACGUUGCUCGGAAUCAUUGGGCGUAAAGCGCACGUAGGCGGUCUGCUAUGUCGGGUGUGAAAUCCCUCGGCUUAACCGAGGAAGUGCAUUCGAAACUGGCAGACUUGAAUACUCAAGAGGGUCUCGGAAUUCCCGGUGUAGAGGUGAAAUUCGUAGAUAUCGGGAGGAACACCAGUGGCGAAGGCGGAGACCUGGGGAGAUAUUGACGCUGAGGUGCGAAAGCGUGGGGGGCAAACAGGA
rnacentral:rRNA from 1 species